rnacentral:rRNA from 1 species
CGAAAGGGAAACAGCCCAGACCACCAGCUAAGGUCCCAAAAUAUAUGUUAAGUGGAAAAGGAUGUGGCGUUGCCCAGACAACUAGGAUGUUGGCUUAGAAGCAGCCAUCAUUUAAAGAGUGCGUAAUAGCUCACUAGUCGAGUGACACUGCGCCGAAAAUGUACCGGGGCUAAACAUAUUACCGAAGCUGUGGAUUGUCCUUUGGACAAUGGUAGGAGAGCGUUCUAAGGGCGUUGAAGCAUGAUCGUAAGGACAUGUGGAGCGCUUAGAAGUGAGAAUGCCGGUGUGAGUAGCGAAAGACGGGUGAGAAUCCCGUCCACCGAUUGACUAAGGUUUCCAGAGGAAGGCUCGUCCGCUCUGGGUUAGUCGGGUCCUAAGCUGAGGCCGACAGGCGUAGGCGAUGGAUAACAGGUUGAUAUUCCUGUACCACCUAUAAUCGUUUUAAUCGAUGGGGGGACGCAGUAGGAUAGGCGAAGCGUGCGAUUGGAUUGCACGUCUAAGCAG